GCAUUUGUUAUGUAACGAUAGACAAAUAAGCGUCGGUGGGGGUUAUCUGUUAGUGCAUGAUUGUACUGUAUAAAAGUGGCGCUGCGUCAUACGCCACUCACUUAACAAAUUACUGAAAGGAAGAUCUUGCGAAAAUUUGGCAGAGCAUACUGUCGAGGAGUAAACACACAAGCAGGUAUCAUAUCCACCCUGUCCAUCAAGAUGCUGAGAAUCCUUUUGCUGUCAACUCUGCUGGUGACUGUUUUGUCCGCGCCGAACAGAAGAUUUACUGACGGUCUAUCUGUCACAGGAAAUUGCAUCCAUGGCCCCUGGUGUUCACAAUGUCACAGCACUGUUAUUCUUGGCGAACGAUUUUGUUGCAAUACUUGUUUCACAGAUAAAGGCUUGAAAAUUGUAGUGUCUAGUGCUGAAAUACAUUGUCAAUGCUGAGCAGAUGUAAUAAACUUUUGAACAUUGAA